AUGACAAACAAAUGUCUCCUCAUGACGCUGUGUUGCAGCCCAUGAGAGACGUGUGACAGAGUAGCUCAUCGCCGUCUUCCUGUUCGAACCGCUGCGAGAGGAGCAGAGCUCGCUAAUGAGCUCAUCGUUUGCAAACGCGGCAAAACGAAGGCUGGCGUGAAAGACCUCAAGACCAUGUCAGCCAACGCUAGAGAUCCUGUGAUCCUUAGUGAUUGCCAAUCAGAGGUGUGCGACGCUGGAAUUUCUCUUGGAUCAGAAAUGACUCCAGACGGUGCCUGCAGCUUUUAAAAAUCUAAAAAUCAACAUGGUGAAAUCACUAAUGCCAAUAUUAACGAGAACUGGCAAUGCAAACAUUGCUUGAGGUGACAAAACAGGAAGGUAAGGAGCAUUUCUCCAAACCUAAGUCAGAUUAGUAUUUUAGAGAGGCAUUAAGGAGGAUUUAUGUAUGAGUUGCAUUGAUGUUUAUGGCAAGGAUGUUCCCACUUGCGUCUGAAGAGUGAUAAUGCGGCAGAGACGAUGG